GACGAACGCUGGCGGCGUGCUUAACACAUGCAAGUCGAACGGAAAGGCCCUGCUUUUGUGGGGUGCUCGAGUGGCGAACGGGUGAGUAACACGUGAGUAACCUGCCCUGGACUUUGGGAUAACUUCAGGAAACUGGGGCUAAUACCGGAUAGGAGCUCCUGCUGCAGGGUGGGGGUUGGAAAGUUUCGGCGGUUGGGGAUGGACGCGCGGCUUAUCAGCUUGUUGGUGGGGGAGUGGCUUACCAAGCCUUUGGCGGGUAGCCGGCCUGGGAGGGUGACCGGCCACACUGGGACUGAGGUACGGCCCAGACUCCUACGGGAGGCAGCAGUGGGGAAUAUUGCACAAUGGGCGGCAGCCUGAUGCAGCAGCGCCGCGUGCGGGAUGGCCGUCUUCGGGUUGUAAACCGCUUUCGCCUGUGGCGAAGCGUGAGUGACGGUAAUGGGUAAAGAAGCACCGGCUAACUACGUG
rnacentral:rRNA from 1 species